rnacentral:rRNA from 1 species
GACGAACGCUGGCGGCGUGCUUAACACAUGCAAGUCGAACGGAAAGGCCCUGCUUUUGUGGGGUGCUCGAGUGGCGAACGGGUGAGUAACACGUGAGUAACCUGCCCUUGACUUUGGGAUAACUUCAGGAAACUGGGGCUAAUACCGGAUAGGAGCUCCUGCUGCAUGGUGGGGGUUGGAAAGUUUCGGCGGUUGGGGAUGGACUCGCGGCUUAUCAGCUUGUUGGUGGGGUAGUGGCUUACCAAGGCUUUGACGGGUAGCCGGCCUGAGAGGGUGACCGGCCACAUUGGGACUGAGAUACGGCCCAGACUCCUACGGGGGGCAGCAGGGGGGAAUUUUGCACAAUGGGCGGAAGCCUGAUGCAGCAACGCCGCGGGGGGGAUGACGGCCUUGGGGUUGUAACCCGCUUUCGCCUGUGACGAAGCGUGGGUGACGGUAAUGGGUAAAGGAGCACCGGCUAACUACGU